rnacentral:lncRNA from 1 species
UGUUUUUCUAUGUUGUGAUUUUAUGCUAUUGUUUCAGAAAAAGGGAGAAGGUUUGGAUCCAUUAAAACGUUUAAUUCCGCUGCAAAUGUUUGCACCUGUCCUAAGUCAGGAAUCUGAUGUACAGUAGUUGUCGUUUGUUUAUGUAAUAUAUACGUGUUUCUCGUUUCUCGUUUUGUUUAUAUAGAUUAGACCGUUGGUUUUCCCGUUUGAAUGGUUUUAUACUAGUAAUUUUGGGGCCCUUUAUAGCUUGUUGUUCGGUGUGAGCCAAGGCUCCGUGUUGAAGGCCGUACUUUAACCUAUAAUGGUUUACUUUUUUAAAUUGUUAUUUGGAUGGAGAGUUGUCUCAUUGGCACUCACACCACAUCUGCCUUUAUCUAUUAACGAGAAAUGGAUAGAUAUAGACCAUUCUGUCUCUGAGGAAAUUAAUAAAGUAAUAGAAUCUGGUACUAAAUUAGACGCGCAAAACAAAACUUUACUUGAAAUUCUCCACAAAAAUGAUCCAGUUGAAAUUUUUGAUUGCAGAGAAAGUUAUGCCAGCAUAAGGCCUACGGUUCUAAACUUCAACACGAUGCCAGUAUUUGUUCCUAAUAAGCUUCAUGAAAAUGACUUGAAAUGUGGUUCUUUGAAACAGCUGCAAUCCAUCCCCAAACAAACAACAUCAAUAUCAACUUCAAACACAAAAUUUCAACUUUUGAACUAUUUACUCUGAAACAAAUUUCCAACUUGAAAGUUGGGGCAGAUGACUUGAUAUAGAUAGCUUAUCGAUUUGAGCAAAUUCUUUUAAAUAUUGAAGUAACGGAACAAUGCCCAAAAAUGAUUAAUCGGUUCACUGAUCUAUAUGUCUACGUUAUGGAUUUCUUAUUUAUUAUUACUUUUACUGUUAAGUAUGUAUUGUGUUGUAUCUACUUUACUUGACUUUGUAUUUAUGUAUGCCGUCAUACUUUGAACGACAAAUUAUUAUUGUUACUUUUACUGUUAAGUAUGUUUUUUUGUUAUAUCUACUUUACUUGACUCUGUAUUUAUGUAUGUCGUCAUACUUUGAACGACAAAAUUAUUUUAUGUCUACUUGUUCGAAUUUCAAACGCGCAAUUUUACACCAGUACUGAAAACCUUCCAUCCUUUAUGCGUGGACUUUACAUAGAUACAUAAAAUUGUAUAAUAUAAGCAAAAUGAGGAUGUUAAAUUUGAUGUAUGCCUUUUUUGUGCUUCUUCGUUACAUUAGUUGUUUUAUAGUGAUUUUAAAAGAUGAUAACACAAUGUUGACUGCUGUACCCCUAAUUUUGACAUUUUUACCUAUUGUGUCUGUUUGUUUUGUUCACGUAUCGCAGGGGCGGAUCCAGUCAUUUUAAAAAGGGGGGUUCCCAACCCAGGACAAAGGGGGGUUCCAACUAUAUUUCUCCAUUCAAAUGCAUUGAUCAACCAAAAAAGGGGGCUUCAACCCCCGGAACCCUCCCCCUGGAUCCGCCAAUGCAUCGUUGACAAUGUAAUGGAAUUUGAUGCGACUGUCAUACAAGUGAGAGGUUUAGCUAGCUAUAAAACCAGGUUCAAUCCACCAUUUUCUACAUAAUAAAAUGCCUGUACCAAGUCAGGAAUAUGACAGUUGUUAUCCAUUCGUUUGAUGUGUUUGAACUUUUGAAUUUGCCCUUUGAUUUGGGACUUUCCUUUUUAAAUUUUCCUCGGAGUUCAGUGUUUUUGUUUUUAUUUUUUAAACAGGAUUUAUUAUUAUCCAUUGAAAAUUGCAAAGUCUCAGUCAUACCAAGUGGAAGCAAACAGAUAAGGGAUCUUUGUAAUAUGUCUCCCCUUGUUACAGAAGCUAUCCUCAGUGCCCAAGGAUAGACAAAUAAUUAUCGGUGCUAUGGACGAUGGACCACACUUCCCAGUUGGAAAAAAAAUCAAAACGGCAACUUUUAAUAAUUAAUGAAAAAGAAAAAUUGAUAAGGACUUUAGACAUGGAAAAGGAACAAAUGCCUCAAUUUACGUUUCCAAGUCGUAUUGCAAGUAAUUCGAAAGGGUAUGUAGCAGUUAUUGAUAUCCAUUCACAAGAAUACGGUGGUAGGGUUGUGGUUCUGAAUAGGAAUGGGGAAAAUAUAAGCUUCUACACUGGUCAUCCAGAAACAGAGGCAGAUUUAGGGGGGG